rnacentral:rRNA from 1 species
GGCGGACGGGUGAGUAAUACUUAGGAAUCUACCCAGUAGCGGGGGACAACUCGGGGAAACUCGAGCUAAUACCGCAUACGCCCUACGGGGGAAAGCAGGGGAUCUUCGGACCAUGCACUAUUGGAUGAGCCUAAGUCGGAUUAGCUUGUUGGUGAGGUAAAAGCUCACCAAGGCGACGAUCCGUAGCUGGUCUGAGAGGACGAUCAGCCACACUGGGACUGAGACACGGCCCAG